ensembl:snoRNA
GGUGAGGUCUAUCCCAUUGGGGCUUUUCCAGUAGCCAAGCAUCAUUGGAAAUGCCUCAUUUAGUAACGCUGUUGCUGUUCUUAAGUCACAGGACUUCCUUGAGCCUGUGGGAAGGAACUACAAAACAAUA